AUAUAUAUAUAUAUAUAUAUAUAUAUAUAUAUAUAUAUAUAAACACACAUAUAUGCAUACUUUUUGUUACAUUAUGGUAAUAAGAAUAGGGCUUUUUCUUAAUUUUCAUAAAAAAAUAAUAAUGCUUUGAUGUAAAUAAUAGACUUGGAUUUGAUGGAGAUUCACCUAUUCAUCUGAAGGAAGAUCAGUCUUAGUAUUCCUUCAGAACAUGUCACAUGUUGACUUCUGUGAAAAAGCCAAAAGACUACGUCACACUGUUUUCCUGUGGACUGCUUGAGACAAUCAGGUUGAUUGUUUUCUUUACAAAUUAUAGCACGUCUAGAUAUGUACAGAUACAUUAUCUGUGUGUAAUAUUUCACAUGACAAAAUAAUUCUUUAUUUGUCAAAGAAAAUAAAGUGUUCCUAUGAUGGUUUUCUGAAUGUGGAUGCUUCAGGUUGACUUCCUGUAGGUGUGUGCGGCGGCUCAGGUAAACAGCCAAUGUCAGUGUGUGUUGUGUCAGUGGAUUAUUGGAGCAGAGAAAUCAACCCGUGGCUCUGUGAAGAGUGACGGUAACACUGUCCACAUCACACCACUGAGACCAGCCACACUCAGGAGACCCAGGAGUAUGUGUUCAGCCUGGAGAACUGGGUUCUCACGGGUUUCCAGGGCGGCUAUCCAACCCUCAAUCCCCGCUCUUCCUGUGAGCCUACGGCAACCUGUCCUCCUUACUGGAUGAUGUUCAGCAGCCCUCAGGAGAGUAGGUUAGCCAGCCGCUGGAGCAGUGACUUCUGGGAGCCCAACCCUCAUCCCCGCAGCCGCAGCUUAAAUGCUGCUCACUACCACACGAUGAACGCCCGAGUCAGAUUCACCAUUUCUGACUCUGAAGAUGAAGAAUUUACAGAAGAAGAUGGUCUUGCUGAGGGUGAAGCACAGUCCAAACGGGGUGGUUCGGGUUUGCCAAGACAAGGACCAGGGUUGAAAGACUUGCACGCUUGUGGAUCAUCAAACUUCCUCAAGCUGCCUUCACCUUGCAGCCUCUCCACACAGCUCCAGGGGACGUCGACUUCCCUCUGCAGGUGUAACUCACCCAAAAGAAACUUCCAGAGGAGUCAGAGCUCUGCUGGUCAUACUAAUGCAUCUUCCACAAUCUCCCCCGACAACUUACAGUUUGAAUGCAUCAACAAUCCCACCCCAAAGGCCCAGGGUUCAUUCUUCCCCCUGGCCCCAUCACGGCCACUCAAUUCCCACGCUGCCGUCCUGGACUCUUCGGUCGAGCUGCUCUCCGCUCUCAGCCCAGAGGAGAGGGAGCUGCUGGCGGCCGUGACCGAGCGGGGCUACCCUCUCCGUACAGCCAUCAUCGCCCUCCAGAAAACUGGCCAGCAGAGUCCAGAGCAGGUCAGUGAGGGAGAUCUGUUACAGGGAUUCAGUCUGAAAUAAGAGAUGGGAUUCAUUCGUG
rnacentral:lncRNA from 1 species